rnacentral:rRNA from 1 species
AUUGAACGCUGGCGGCAGGCCUAACACAUGCAAGUCGAACGGUAACAGGAAACAGCUUGCUGUUUCGCUGACGAGUGGCGGACGGGUGAGUAAUGUCUGGGAAACUGCCUGAUGGAGGGGGAUAACUACUGGAAACGGUAGCUAAUACCGCAUAACGUCGCAAGACCAAAGAGGGGGACCCUCGGGCCUCUUGCCAUCGGAUGUGCCCAGAUGGGAUUAGCUUGUUGGUGGGGUAACGGCUCACCAAGGCGACGAUCCCUAGCUGGUCUGAGAGGAUGACCAGCCACACUGGAACUGAGACACGGUCCAGACUCCUACGGGAGGCAGCAGUGGGGAAUAUUGCACAAUGGGCGCAAGCCUGAUGCAGCCAUGCCGCGUGUAUGAAGAAGGCCUUCGGGUUGUAGAGUACUUUCAGCGGGGAGGAAGGGAGUAAAGUUAAUACCUUUGCUCAUUGACGUUACCCGCAGAAGAAGCACCGGCUAACUCCGUGCCAGCAGCCGCGGUAAUACGGAGGGUGCAAGCGUUAAUCGGAAUUACUGGGCGUAAAGCGCACGCAGGCGGUUUGUUAAGUCAGAUGUGAAAUCCCCGGGCUCAACCUGGGAACUGCAUCUGAUACUGGCAAGCUUGAGUCUCGUAGAGGGGGGUAGAAUUCCAGGUGUAGCGGUGAAAUGCGUAGAGAUCUGGAGGAAUACCGGUGGCGAAGGCGGCCCCCUGGACGAAGACUGACGCUCAGGUGCGAAAGCGUGGGGAGCAAACAGGAUUAGAUACCCUGGUAGUCCACGCCGUAAACGAUGUCGACUUGGAGGUUGUGCCCUUGAGGCGUGGCUUCCGGAGCUAACGCGUUAAGUCGACCGCCUGGGGAGUACGGCCGCAAGGUUAAAACUCAAAUGAAUUGACGGGGGCCCGCACAAGCGGUGGAGCAUGUGGUUUAAUUCGAUGCAACGCGAAGAACCUUACCUGGUCUUGACAUCCACGGAAGUUUUCAGAGAUGAGAAUGUGCCUUCGGGAACCGUGAGACAGGUGCUGCAUGGCUGUCGUCAGCUCGUGUUGUGAAAUGUUGGGUUAAGCCCCGCAACGAGCGCAACCCUUAUCCUUUGUUGCCAGCGGUCCGGCCGGGAACUCAAAGGAGACUGCCAGUGAUAAACUGGAGGAAGGUGGGGAUGACGUCAAGUCAUCAUGGCCCUUACGACCAGGGCUACACACGUGCUACAAUGGCGCAUACAAAGAGAAGCGACCUCGCGAGAGCAAGCGGACCUCAUAAAGUGCGUCGUAGUCCGGAUUGGAGUCUGCAACUCGACUCCAUGAAGUCGGAAUCGCUAGUAAUCGUGGAUCAGAAUGCCACGGUGAACACGUUCCCGGGCC